GUGGGGAAUUGUUCGCAAUGGGCGCAAGCCUGACGACGCAACGCCGCGUGGAGGAUGAAGAUUUUCGGAUCGUAAACUCCUUUCGAUCGAGACGAACGGGCUUCGGGCUAAUACCCUGAGGCAGUGACGGUACCGAGAGAAGAAGCCCCGGCUAACUCCGUGCCAGCAGCCGCGGUAAUACGGGGGGGGCAAGCGUUGUUCGGAAUUACUGGGCGUAAAGGGCUCGUAGGCGGCCAACUAAGUCAUACGUGAAAUCCCUCGGCUUAACCGGGGAACUGCGUCUGAUACUGGAUGGCUUGAGUUCGGGAGAGGGAUGCGGAAUUCCAGGUGUAGCGGUGAAAUGCGUAGAUAUCUGGAGGAACACCGGUGGCGAAGGCGGCAUCCUGGACCGAUACUGACGCUGAGGAGCGAAAGCCAGGGGAGCAAACGGGAUUAGAAACCCCAGUAGUCC
rnacentral:rRNA from 1 species